UAUCCUCUUCUUAGCAGAACRUUGCAUUAGAUUUAGAUUCUAAAUCAACUCCC
rnacentral:tRNA from 1 species